GACCGCGACCCCAGGUCAGGCGGGACUACCCGCUGAGUUUAAGCA
rnacentral:rRNA from 3 species